rnacentral:lncRNA from 1 species
GAGGCUUUAGGGGGCAGGAAGCUGCGAGAAGGUGGCGCUUGCUUAGAAACCUGGACCCCUACUGAAUGGAUCUGCUGGCACCUAGACCUCAGAGAAAGGGGAACUGAAGACUGAAGUCUGACCACUGUUCUUUGUUGAAAAUUUCUUUCUCAGGGGCUUGGAGGGAUCACAUCUACAAUCCUGAGCUAAUAUUCUCUUAUGCUGUCCCCAAAAUUUAAACGAAGCUUCUCUUUCUUAACCCAUUGCAAAUGAGAAAAAUCUUGAAUCUCCCUAUGACUGUAAGCCCUUAUUUCAAGAUAUCCCGCCUUUUUAGGCCAAAACCAAAGUGUAACCUCCAUCUAUUGAUUUACAAUUUUGCCUGUAACUUUGGCUUUCCUGAAAUUUACCCCAGCCUUAAAAAAAAAAAAGAACAGAAAAAGAAAACUGCAAGGCAUCAGGGAGGUCAGAAUUUGGGCAUGAGCUGCCUGAUCCUCCUUGCUUUGCAUCUUUGCAAAUAGAUGCCUUCAGCUGUGCAUGAUGGCUCACACCUCUCAUCCCAGCACUUUGGGAGGCCAAGGCGGGAGGAUUGCUCCAUCCCAGGAGUUCGAGAUCAGGGGCAAAAUGCCGAAACCCUGUCUCUACAAAAAAUUUAAAAAUUAGCUGGGCAUGAUGGUGCACUUCUGUAGUCCCAGCUACUUGGGAGGCUGAGGCAGGGGGAUUCCUUGAGCCCAAGAGGUUGAGGCUACAGUGAGCCAUCAUCGUGCCACUGCACUCCAGCCUGGGAAACAGAAUGAGACCCUGUCUCAAAACAAAACAUUUGAAAAAUAACAAGUUCAGGUGCAGUGGCUCAUACCUGUAAUCCCAGCACUUUGGGAGGCCAAAGUGGUCGGAUCACUUGAGGCCAGUAGUUCAUGACCAGCCUGGCCAACAUGGCAAAACCCCAUCUCUACUAAAAAUACAAAAAUUAGCUGGGUGUGGUGGCUGGCAACUGUAGUCCCAGCUACUCCGGAGGCUGAGGCAGGAAAAUCACUUGAACCCAGGAGGCGGAGGUUGAAGUGAGCCGAGAUCACACCACUGCACUCCAGCCUGGGCAACAGAGCAAGACUCCGUCUCCAAAAAUAACAAAAAAUAAACACAUGCCUUCCUUCCUACUGCUGCACAACCUCACUGUGUCAGGCAGGCAUCUCUGGAUCCAGCUGGUUUUUGUUUUGCUGAGGCUCGGCUUCUUCCUGGAACUUUUUGAAACAACACUCAAGGGUCUCAAAUGGCUGACAUGAUGGUCUGUGACCUGAAAGUUGUUGAAUAGUUGGAGUGUUCUGCAUUCAUGUGGAAGAGGCUAAAGGAUGUUUGAUGAAGCACUAUGGGCUGCCCUGGAAGAGGACUGAAGAAGCAGCUGCAGGAAAGAAACGUCCACUCUGCUCCAGUCAACCCCACUGCUGGUGUCCUCUGCACUGCCUUGCACUCCCUGAAGAGAGCCUGGGCAACAGAGCGAGACUCCAUCUCAAAAAAAAAAAAAAAAAAAAAAAAAAAUUGGGGACUAUGUAUAUAGAUUUACUACACUGAAGCCCUCCAGCAGUCUAAGAACUGAUGCCUCUAACGAAGGAAAGGACUGCAUGUUUCUGAUGAAGCUACCAUGACCUACCAGAUUUCCAACGCCUGCCAAAAUUAAUCUAUUUGUCUGUGGUAGAAGAGGCCAUACCAUUGUGGCCCUUGAAACUUACUGUAUGAUGUUUUAUUUAGUGAACAGUUCACAUACCCAAAUGGUUGUAACUGAUACUGCUGAAUAUAUUGUAAGAACAGAAGUGUUAAGUAUGUAUAACACUUCUUUUGAUUGUAAGGAAUGUUCCCAGUGGGGAAAUGCCAUAAUUAAAACAGUGAUCGUGGGAUGAAUACACGAUUAAGAGCUUACCUUCAUAAUAGUAAAACAGUACAGGAUGCCAGAAGGAAGGGAGGAGAGGGGAUAAUACCACUAUACUGAUGAAGUAGCUAGAAGAAAGAGGAGUGCUUAAGGAAACUAUCCAGCAGGCUAUUGAGACUGACCUCUCAUUUGGAACAGUUCUAGUGAGCCUUUUCAGCUACAAGUGACGGUGACUGACAGUUACACUGAUUGGAGCCUGUGGCAAUAGGCAGUAAGUGCCAUUUAGGGUUUUGGGCACAGCAUUUGCCUGACACCGCUGCCUGGUAUACUCCAUUUAAGCAGCAAUUGUUGGCUUGUUAGUGAGUGCUUUUGGACACUUAGACACUAACAAAGAAAGCAUC